rnacentral:rRNA from 1 species
UGAGUAACCUGCUCUUAACUCUGGGAUAAGCCUGGGGAACUGGGUCUAAUACCGGAUAUGACUCCUCAUCGCAUGGUGGGGGGUGGAAAGCUUUAUUGUGGUUUUGGAUGGACUCGCGGCCUAUCAGCUAGUUGGUGAGGUAAUGGCUCACCAAGGCGACGACGGGUAGCCGGCCUGAGAGGGUGACCGGCCACACUGGGACUGAGACACGGCCCAGACUCCUACGGGAGGCAG